GGGUCUUGGUCAAUUAGAGGAAGUAAAAGUCGUAACAAGGUUUCGGUAAAGAUCCUUCUUUGAAGCCUCCCACACAUCGACUAUAACCCUGUGUGCAGUCUAGAAAUAGGCGACGUCACCCCUGUGCUGGAACGCUACCUCAACAAUGGCGGAUCAGCAGCCAGGCUUUCCUGGUCCACAGAUUAGGUGGUGGCGGUCCCCCGAACGUCUUGUUGGGGAUGAAGAUAUAAUCGGUCUCCGUCACUUCGAUUUGAUGGCUGAGAGACGUUCCGUAGGUGAACCUGCGGAAGGAUCAUUA
rnacentral:rRNA from 1 species